AGAUACAACAUGUGGAGAAGAAAUCACUUACUCUGAAAUAACAUUCAAGAAAAGAAAAGCACAGAAAUCGAGAGAUAAAGAGGAGACUGAGGUGGUGUAUGCAGGAAUCGCUGGGAGAUGCUGAUCAGAGUAUGAUUCUGGAGGUGAAAUACUGUGAAAUAGUGUUAGUGUGAAACUUUGUUUAUUUGAACAUAAAUGUAUGCUCAUUUUACACGUCACAAGAAUCACACACAGAUCUUUCAAGAUCAGUGAGUUUCUGGAAAUGAACUGAAAUAUUGCCAUUCCCCACUGACAGAAUGCAUCUUUGACUGACAGAAAAAAACCUUUCCAUAAAAUCAUCCGAUUUGAAGCGUAUCAGUCACACAAGAUUCGUUCUUAGGAUAUGUGUAUGUAGAAUAUAGAAGGAUAUUUGCCCAUUUUCUUUUCUUUUUCAAUUAAUUUAUUUUUUUCAGUGGAUCUGGAAGAUGCUUAUUUUUAUAUCCAAAUCCAAAGCCUCCCAUCACAGACCAUUACUGAAGGGGUGGUUUAACUAUACACGGUACAGUCACCAUUCACACUGUCCCUGGCCCCAUGCACUUUUACCAAGUGUCCUUUUAAAAUCAGGUGGAUAGUCAAUAGUUUUGUCAGUGCUGUAGUAAAGGUUUAUGAGCAUAAACAUGUCAUUUCACUUACAACUCUUUCUUACGAUGACAUUUUCAUAAAUACAAUUCUUUAAAAGUUAUAUGCAAGAUAUUUAAUUUGUUAUAACUUUAGAUUUCCUUUUGUACAAUAUUAAAUAAAGACUCUUUAUACAUUC